GCAUCUGAAACUCCCCCACUCCCUGAGGUGCACUGCUGGGCUGGGGACAUGUGAUGAUGCCAUAGCAAGGCAGAGGAAAUCCAGACAAGCUCCCUUUCACCACAGUGGGACUCGUCUCUACGCCUUUGCAACAUUU
ensembl:snoRNA